rnacentral:lncRNA from 1 species
CUGGGCGGGACUGGAACCGGCACUUGGCACCCCUUACGCCUUACGGUGGCCGCUGCGCCCAGUCACAUCUAUUGCAUUUCUCUGGAAUGACCACAGCAAUAUUUCCAGCCCUUGAUGAUCUUCUAGAACUUUGCCACUUCCCUGCAUCAAGAGAGUGACUGUGGACAAAUUCUGGCAUUCAGAAUCAAGUGUACAAAAUGGUGAGUAAGGUUGGCAAUGGAGUUUCUUAGAGCAGCCCCACAAUGUGCUAUGCUUUUUUUUUCUCACUGUUUAUUUCUUAGCUUAUUGACCCUAUCUAUUUGCCUUCAAGUUUUGUUCUUUGGGCCUUUUAGGGAUUCUGUGGGCUAGCUAAUAACCUUCUACAAAGCCUUUUCUGCUAAAAAUAUCUCAGUUCAAUACUAUUGUUUGCAAGUAUAAGCCUGACUAAUGGAGAGUUUCAGGUGGUAGGUGUUGCACCCCGCCCCCCCACCAAAAAAAUGAUAAAUACCUCCUCUGCUAAAAUAUACAUGUAGAGAUUGGGAGUGUUGGUCUUCACUCAGUAUUUGUAAAAAAAAUGGAUUAACAGACCUAGAGAAUGUGCACAACCGUUGGUUGUGACAGCAAAAUAUUCUACUGUACUAGUCAACCUGUGAGUUUCAAGCCUCAAAUGCUAUAUGACACAUUGGAUGCAUAAUUAAGCUGCAGCAUUGCAUUAAUAUCAAUAACUAGCAUUUGUUGAGUGCUCACCAGACAGUGCUAUAUAGGUUAUUUUAUAAGUUAUUUUAUGUAAUCCUCAAAAUAAACCUUUGAAGUAUUUACUAGUGGCAUCUCUAUUUUAUAGAAGAGGAAAUUAAGGUUUAGACCAGUUUAAGUACUUUCCCAUGGUCAAUCUGUUUGGUAGGCAGGAAUGGGAUAUGGACCUAUAUCUAUCUGACCCUAGAUUUCUCAUUAUGCCAUUAAACAACACUGGCUCUUACUGUUAUUGAAUGUAGAUUUAACUGGUCUGCUCAGUAUUGCAGAGAAUUUGAUGAGGAAAUUAUGAUGGAGGAUGCAUACUUAACAAAGAAAAUCUCCUGGAUGGAUCUUUCCUAUACAGGAAUUGUGAAAAUCUUCCCUGAGACAGGAGGCACCUGCCUGUCACAGAUACCAGUCAGGGAAAAAGAACACAUAAGGAUUUCCUGCUGGAACCCGAAAGCUUUUUCUGCAGUCCAGGUGGUUCUGAUAGCCCUUACCAGAUGUCUGUCCAGAGCCAUUAAGUCUUGGCAUGCUUGCUCUUGGGAAAAUAUUAAGCCAUCUCACCCAUGAGCAAGUGCUGAAUGAAUGGAAAGUUUCCAGCUGUGUGCCCAGAAAAAAAUGUUUAAUGAAGACAACUGAUGUCUUUGAAUGGUUUAUUUUCUCAAUUGUUUUUGAGGCUACAGCUUACAUAUCAAUACUUCCGAGGGACUAAGUAUACAAGAAAGACACUUAAAAUGAAACCCUUAGUAUAUAUUAGGACAAUGUCCUCAUUUUUAUGUUCUCAUUUACUUUACUAUUGAAAUUUUUAGAAUGAUUUAUCAAGAUUCUUUUAUUAUUAUUUAUUAUUUUCCUCUGCCUAAAUAAAUGGGGGUAAAAUCUAAAACCAUUUACUUAUGAGUAAAUAUGAUUGAGGAGGUUUCUAUAUGCUUAUAUUUUAAAACAGAACAAAAAAACAAAAAAUACCUACAAAGUUGGUGUUGAACUUAAUUGAACCAUGCUGCACUGACCCUUCUCACUUCUGACUCCUGUUUGCCCUUGGCUUCCUCUGUCACCUCUCCCUUCUUCAUGUCCCAUGCUCAGACUUUCGGAACCAGGUUUCCCUACCAUGUUAUGUUGUUUCAUAGCUCUUCCUCUCACUUCUUUCUCUGUGUAAAAUGCAUCUCUUCCCUGUUUACAUUUGGAAUGCCUUCUCAUUUUCAAAGGUGCAUCUGGUUUCUCUACUGAAUAGAACCUUUCCCAAUUUCCCAAUAGAGAACUUAACUACCCCUCACUUGGUGCCUACCCUGUACCCCAAAUCCCCGAUAAAACAAUCUUUACAUGGAUGUUGAGUAAAUAGUGACAAAGUGAAACAAUGAAAGGAACCAAUAAGAUUCCUUAACUCUUUAACUAAUGAUGUAUUAAUAGGACCAGAAAAUUACAGGAAAGAAUCAUUUUUUUCUUUUGCUUAUAUUUAUGCCCUAUUUGUCUAUUAUGCGGAAAACAUUAUGGUUCGGAGCCCAUGGCUUAUUCAUGUUUGUACAUCCAAUGUUCUCUCCGGUGCUAAUUUUGAUCAUCUGCUCAAAAUAAUGAUUUUGAGCAGAUGAUCAAAUAAUGAUUUCAUUGAAAAACAUCACUUCAUUGGCUUGGUACUUUUAUCGUGACCUUAGAUUUCUUGUAUAUACUACCUUUAUAUGUUAUCUGAGGAGAUUUGUUUUUAUAUAAAGGUUCUUAAUAAAUUUUCUUCAAAUGUCAGGAUCAAGAGCAUAGGCAUAUUUGCUCUGGAAUGUUUAUCCUAUUCUUCACUGAUGAUCAAUUUAGAGUGUGUCUGUUCAGGCAAGAAUAAACAGAGCAAAUGAUCUCUUUUUCCCAUAUGAGCUCUUGAAUUUCACUUUUCCCUAGAAUGAAAAGUGCUUCUUGCCAAUAGAGGAUUUUUUAUACUGUCAUUUAAAAAAUGGAUUUUCUUUUAUCAAACCAAUAACCUUUAUAUGUGCAUUGUUUUCUCCUACAUGGAGCCUUGAGAUCAGCUUUCACAGAUUCUGUUUUGUGGUGAGUGCUGUCAGUGUAGAAGGAUGUCAUUUGUCAUGCCUUAGAGACUGUGUAGCACCCCUUCUUUCUUUUGCUAAAUAAGAAAAAUAAGCUGCUCUCUGCCCAAGCAAGACAAAUGUACUUGGGAUACCUAUUCUUUCCUGUGAUUUCUCUGGACUUGCAUCACUGGUUUAAGAUUUAAGGCAUCUUCUUGGUUCUUUACUUUUCAUUGUUUCACAGCUCUUUGCUACUGUUUACUCAAUAUCCAUGUAAAGAUUGUUUAAUGGACACUUUGAAAACUUCACAAUUGUAAAGCAGUCCAGGUUUGUUGUUUGUGGUGUCAUUCUAUCUUUCUUUUCUCUGUUGUUUUCCUCCCUUCUGACCCUUGAUCAACUAAUGAGUGUCCUUACACCCUGACUACUCAGUUCUCCCCACAACUCUGCCUAUCCUAGUGUGCUAGUCUCUCAAUGACAAAGUCAUUCUUCUUUCUCCUCCAACUAAAACGCUCACUAGUUGAUUGUCAAGCAGAAAAUCUCUCUGAUUAACUCCCUCCCUCCAAGUAACUACUGAUUGUUAAUGGCCCAAUAUCUUAUUCUUCUAGGAUGAAAAUGAACAUUGUGAAAUAGGUGACAACUUUAUGUGACAAAUGCAUUUACCAAGGACAUAACUCUAUGAUUGUGGUAUUUCACACAUCAUGAGGUGGAACACUGGGGUUGUUUCUAGAAGGGAUGUGUAAGCUACUGCCUAUUCCCAUUUGUUUAAGGAUUUUUCAGUCUUAGAAUUGUUCAUUUCUAUUCUUCUUCCAUGGAGGAAUCUAAAUGCUGUUAUGUCACGGUAACUAACUGCAUUGUGCUUCAUAUAUUAUCAUGUAGAUUACAGGGCAAGUUAUUUUGUUUUCUAAAACAUUACUGGUAGAACAUAAAGAACAGUAGCAAUAAGACUAUUAACUUCUUAAUUGUUCCUGGAUACCAUUAUUAUACAUUCAAAUUUUGGUGAAGCCUCUGAUCAGAGUAUUUAAAGGUGUGUGUAUUUAAAAACUUGUGACAUAGAUCAUAUAUUAAAAAUAGUCUGCUUCAGAUUAUUCUCUGGGAACAAAACAAUGGAGUAGAUGGAAGGAGCUUAGUCAUCAAAGCAUUUCUUACAUAAUAGAUAUGACAAUGGUAAAAAUAGAUGAAAAUUGAAGGAAAAGAGAUGAAGCGUAGAGAAUAGUUUUAAGGAAACUAUACAAACAGACAGCAGAUGUCACUGUUGCUUUUUCAUUAUCAUUAAUCUUUUUUUGGGUUUUGUUCCUAGUUAAUGACAUUUUUCAUUUUAUUUGAGAACUCUAAUAGGUUAAUCAAGUUCACGUAUGCUGAACUUCUGUUUUGAAUGUUAUGUUUAUUAAGGUUAUGCCUAUAAACUUUGCAUAUAUAAUUAUAAAGAAGAUACUUUGUAUGCUGAGGACCAUUAAUUUAAUAUUAUAAAUUGACAAAAUAAUUUUUAUAAUAAACAUCAUCUGAUUCAGAAUAGUUUCCUAAUAAAAUAAAGUGUUAAUCAUCUUGAAGAACAGCUGGUCUUGAUCUUCUUUUAAAUGACCAGUCAUAUCAUUUGUUCUCUUUAUUGUGAAUACUGAAAUACAUAUCACCAAAUCUUCUCUGUGAUGAUGAUCUAAGAGAUUUUUUUUACCAUGUGAACACAACCAGCCAGUUUUAUGUAGAACCUGAGAAACACGUUCCACAUCAACUUCCAAAACACUAUUCACCCCCCCCGUUUCAUUUUCUCUCCUUGAUCAGUUCAACUCUAGCUUUCAAUUACAGUGUUUCCUCUUCAAGCUGCUGUGUAGGAUGCACAAACCUCAAUUUCUCAUCUUCCUAUCUAAUCAUUUACCAGAUCCUGUUGAUUCUAACUUCUGUGUUUUUAUUUCUUUUCUCUUCUUCUUUUCUUUUCUCAAAGACAGGGUCUCUCUCUCUGUCACCCAGGCUGGUGUGCAGUACCUUUGUAAAGGCACUACAACAGUGUGCAUUUCUAAAAUCAACUUCCUUUUUAUCACAAACUUUAAACUUCAUAGUACACAGCUAAGUAUGUGACACACAUGCACACAUUUCUGUAGGAAGAAUAACUUGGACAGUUUUUCAGUUUCAGUGGGGCUCCAUUAUUUCAUGAGAAUGAAAUGAGGCAACCUUGGUUUUAAUGUGGAAAAAAAUUCAGCAAGAACUAGUAAUAAUACAAUGAGAGUUUCUAAAGAUUUCUUUUUCAUAAAAUCUAAUUCUAUUGUCAUUUUUAAUUCAAAAGACUACAACUUUACUGUUAUAUUCUUAAACAUAGUAAGCCUGUUUUUUUUUUUAAAUCUAUAAAAUAAGGAACUUGGGUAAAAUGUUCCUAAUGUGCUUUUCAUAGAUAAAAUUCUAUUAUUCAAUAGGAAGUACUGAAAGGCGUACUUAGGAUUGCUUAUUUCUCUUACAAAAACCUCAUCAGUAUAUGUUCUAUGCUUCUAUAAAAAUGUAUUACAGAUGAUUACUUUUAGAACUAAAAUGAAAAUAUAUAUUAAGCACUUACUGGGGAAUUAGGAUUUUUAUAAUCAUAGGACAGUAGUGAAAAUUACUUGAAAUCUGUUAUAACUGAAAAACAAUUCAAGGAAUUUAAUGACAUUAAUCUUUACAUUUGAAGAUAAGCCUGUGACUGUGUAUAUGUUGUAACUGUUACAAUAAAUGAUAAAAACUAGCUUCUAUUUUGGAUUUUGUUAUCUUGAUUGCUUACUGAAAAUAUUAAUGGAAGUAAUGACACAGGAGUCAGGGAGAGGAAGGAGAUGGGCUGUCCAAACAUGUUUUCUGUUAUCCAUGUGUGAGCACUGCCUAUGAACACUAAGGCAGGGGUCCCCAACCCCUGGGACCAGUACUGGUCUGUGACCUGCUAGGAACUGGGCCGUAUAGCAGGAGGUGAGCAGUGGAUGAGCAAGGGAGCAUUACUGCCUGAGCUCUGCCUCCUGUCAGAUCAGCAGCGUUCAAUUCUCAUAGGAGGGCUACCCUGUUGUGAACUGCACGUGCAAGGGAUCUAGGUUGCACACUCCUUAUGAAACUCUAAUGCCUGAUGAUCUGAGGUGGAACAGUUUUAUCCUGAAAUCAUCCCUCCAGCUUUGCCCCACAUCCCCACUGUCCAUGGAAAAAUUGUCUUCCACGAAAAUGGUUCCUGGUGCCAAAAAGGUUGGGGACCACUGCUCUAAGGAAUAUAUUUAGAAUUGCUGGAAUAAAUAAUUUUUAUCACUGGUGAAUUGGCAUAUGGUUUUCUGUGUUUGAUUUAUAUAUUAUUUAACUAAGUAAGUGUUCUGAAGAGGAAUUUAGAAAAAGAGUAUUUUAUUCACUAGUAGGAACUUUAGUGCUCAGAGACAUGUUUCUGCAGCCUGUCCCAGCAUGUUAUUUUUUGAACACAUUGCAUCUUCAGUAUAGAUGUGGUUUGAAACUUGGACUUCACUUUUAAUUCACGUCAUCUUGGUUAGGAAAUUCAACUUCUCAUUAGUGAAAAUUUCUUAUAAAAGCGAGAAUAAUGCUACCUAUAUUUUUUGGGAUUGUUGUGAAGAUUACACUUGAUAAAUUUAAACACCAAUAUAUGUGUAAGGUGUACCAUAAAUUAUUGAUAUAUAUAUCAUUGUAACCACUAAUAGCAAAUGUUUCUCAAUGGCCUAGUAAGUAAAAGGUGUUUUGUUGAUUCUGGGAUUAUAAAAAGAUAGAAUUUGUGGUCUUCAUAGUUAGAAGCAGUAUUUAAAUAACGAACUUACUAUUUGUAACAGUAGUUAUUUACUUGCAAUCUUUAAAAAUUGUUAUUUAUUUAUUUAUUUAUUUAUUUAUUAUUAUACUUUAAG